CCACGGUGCACCCCGGCAGGGACUACAAGGACAAGUACAGCCACCUCGUUGGCCGGGCAGCGGCCAAGGACGCGGCCCACACCAUGGAGGCCAACAAGGUGUACGGCUGCGUGCCCGUGGCCAACAAGAGGGACACCCGCUCCAUCGAGGAGGCCAUGAACGAGAUCCGGGCCAAGAAGCGCCUGCGCCAGAGCGAGGAGGAGGGCUCUGCCCCGGCGUCGAGCAGCUCGUAGGCGCGCAGGUGGUCCCCCUCCGACCGCACGCGAGAGUGCCGGGGACCGCCUCCAGAGCGCACGCGGGGGUCCCGUCGGGGGAGCCGCAGAGCAGACCGGAGGGGCAGCGCCACAGGGCACCCGUCCCCUCCCCGUUUCCCGGGGUGUCCUCCCCUUUCUCGUUUCUCGUGCGUUUUGAGUACUUAGUCUGUAGCCUAGGAGUGCAUUGUAAUUCCGGCCGAGCGGAGGCGGGACGUGCAGCGGCUCGCGGGGGGGGGGGCGGCUGUGCCCGCUGCGGCCUUGCAGGGCGGGCCGUGUGCGUGGGCUUCUGGAAAAUCCCGUUUAGCAAAAGCAGGAGAGUGAAGAGAGGACCGUCCUGUGAGGUCUCCUUCCCACGGGUGGCGUUCGGCCGGGCUCCUUUGCUGGGCCCCGCUGUGGGGGCAGCCCCCUCCUCUGCUUCCCCUCCCUAGAGCCCCACGGUGGCCCCCUCUGAAAGGCUUGCUGCACUGCCCCCUCUCCCCACCAGGGGGAGUGCGGCCCAGCUGCCAAGCCCCCGCCUCCCCCCCCCGCCCUGUGCCCUUCAGGAGGUCCUCAGCGCGCUGGUGGCUGGGCCCCCCGCCCGUCAUGUGCACCCUGCGGGGGGAGGGGAGCCCCCAGUUCCCCCGCAGGGCCUGGGUGCCAUCGGGGGCGGGGGCCCUGGCUUUGGCGGCGGGGGGCACGUGCGGCACUCCCCGGCCCGCCUCCCCGCUCUCGCUCUCUUGCAUGUCCUCACCCAGCCGGAGUUUUAUUUGGGGUGUAAACUGAAGUGGACUUUGCGCCCGCCCUUCCCCGUCGAGGGCGUGGAGAGGCAGCCCAUCCCUGGUGCUCCGGCCUCUCCUCCUGUCGGAUCCCAGAACGCCUGUUGUAAAUUCGGGGCGGGGGAACCCGCUGGGGCGCUCCAUUAAACACUGGUCCCAAACCCUG